GUAAGAUUUCCAUUUGGGUUCGGAUCAGCAUCUGUAUAUUUCCAGUGAUCUGAUUAAAGAUGGUGGGGCUCAUCCAGCUCCAGCACUGCAGUGCUGGGGGAAGCUCAGGUCCCCACAGAGGAUCCUUGAGCUCUCUAACCCUGUUUUCUAAGGAAAUAUAAGGCAGGGUUCCAUUUAUUUAUUUCCAUAUCCCAGAUAUUGUCUUGGGAGAAGGGGAUUGUUUUCCAGAGCUCGUGUUGGUGCUGCUGAGCCUUUCCUAGGGAUCAGCCAAAACUUCCAGCUGGGCUCAUCAACUCUUCCUGGGCUACCUGAAAUGUUUAUCAGUCCUUGUGCCAAUCAGAGAAGUAGGGCCUGCAUCACUUCCAAUAACUCAGCCUUCACCUGAAGAUCAGUAUAACAUCUAAAUCUGUGUUUCAACACAGAGUUAGUGUGACCUGCUCCGCUCAGCUCUCUUAUCACUUGGGGCAUUUCAUGUUGCAGCCAUGUCUGUCCAAGUCUGAGAGAUAAAGUUUAAUCAAACGAAUGAUUUGUUAUUCUCCAGCAGGGAUUAACAAAGGUGUUUAAAACACUGUGUUCAUAUUCACCAUGAGGAUAAAGGGGAUUUUGGAACAGUGAUAUCACUGGGUUUCAGUGUGACCUGUAUGGUGUUAAAAGCAGGGGAAGCUGUGAUGAACCAUGCUGGGCAGUGACGUUCACAUGUGUACAACUAAAGUCCUUAAAGCAGAUGAGUAAUUUGGACUCAAUUUUUAUUUAAAUCAAGUCUCUGUUACAUGCAUCUAUGCCCACGCCUUGAAAUUCUCUCCAGUCAUGCAUUUGGCGUAGGUGGGAAUACCUCCUUCACAGGUAAACUUAGUGUUCCUUUCAUAGAGAAGGCCGUUACCAUUGACUUCCCUCUGUUAAGAAAAAAAAAGAGGAUUUUUUUUCAUAACAAUUUAACUUUGAGCAGUAUUUAUUUAUUCAAGAAGUUUUCCUGACAGUGUGUAAAAGAAGGAUCAUUUAGAAAAGAAAAAAAGGUUCAGUAAUGUAAGUCCUCAUUUGGGACUGCGUCUCAAAUUAUAUCUUUUUGAUUCUGACUUUCUGCCCAGGUUCCAGUGGAAACUUUUUUUCACUUAAAAAGCAAAUUUCUUUCUUUGAAGGCAACCAAUCUAGCAGUGUUUUUUUUUUUUUUUUCUUGUUUCUAAACUGCAGAGAAACUCUCAUGGCAGUGGUAUAAAGUUGGCCUGUGGCCUCAUGGGCCGUAAGGUGGGCUUGAUGGUGCUGUGUCAGUGCUUGUGUCAGUGCCUAGCCAUUGUUUUGUUCCCCCUUUGUCCACCGAAGCUCUGUCUUCAAUCCUGUCAUUUUUGGAGGUGUUUGCAGGCAUGGUUAUGUCUUUCCUCUUCCUGAGUUAAUGAUGGUACAGGCUGUCCAGAGAGCUGGUGGAGUCACCAUCCCUGGAGGUGUCCAGGAACCAUGAUUCUAUUGGCUCAGAAUGAUGCUUGUGCCUUUUGGGUCCCAGCAAAUAUAGAAUUUUAUGAGUCUGUAUAGGAAUUGUUGAAUCACAGCCUGAACCUCUGAUUGACCACCUGAGGCGAGUGCUGAGUCAGCCGCAGGGGCACAGGUGAACUCAAUUCUCCAAGACCCCAUUUAAGGGCUGACUCCCAAGGAGGAAGGCUCUCUAUCUGGAGAUCACCCUUCUUGGAGCCCUUCUUUAAGCCCAGGACAAGGAACAAAAAUGCCGUGUUAGAUGAAAACCAUCUGGUGUCAACAAAAACCAUCCCUGUGGUCAAGCAACAGCUUGGGACAAGUGGAUGUUGUUUGAAAAGUCACUGGGCCAGAAGCAGGGUUGAUUCCAGCCUCUGAAACGGGCACGAAUUCUUCUCUCGUAAUAAGAAAGGUGCCACCCAAACGUGCAGAGUCCCACUUGCCUCAGGUUAAGUUUUUACUGCUGAAUGGUGAAGCAAGAUGACAGCAUCAGCAGAAGAGCUGUUAUCAAGUAUCACUGCCUGCAUCCUGUGGUUGUGCCGUAAUGGACCAUGGGCAGCCUGGCUCCAGCCAAGUGCACAGCUCAGGCUCUGUGCAGUACUGCACAUCCUAAUUCAGCAUCAAACCUCUGAAUUCCCAUACGUGUGCCAUGAACAAGAGGAGUCUCCAGGAGGAAAAAAAAAAAAGCAAAGAAUGGGGGAAAAAAUGAGAAGGAAGGUCACAAAGCAGGAGCCCAGGUUGGCUUAGUCCCUGAUUAUGCUUUGGACUAGAGGCCAGGAUUUUCCCAUUGACAUGGACAAAUUGGUCUACUUUAUUGCAUUCUGGAGAUUUGAUCCUCCUCUGCAGUCUGCUGGGCAACUUCCAAAGGAUAGAAUUGGAUUCCUCACCAUAAAGUUUCUCCUUCCAAGAUGGAAAGGGCUUUUAUGGCAAAGUAUAAAAUCAAAAAACAAGCUGUCACUCGCAUUUGCUGCCCUGCUCUUUCUGUGCACUGUAAGAAGCACUCUCAGGGUUUUGAAGCCUGCUGUAUUAAGUGUGAGAUGGUGAAAAGGUCAUGACAGAAGGGCUGGUGAGAUUGAAAUCGAGUGCAGGAGCAUUCUGCAAGGAGGUGACUUGCCUGCUCCAAAUGCCCUGAGAAGUGAAGGCGAGAGCCUUAGCACAGCAUUGUGCUACCUGUGUCUUCUCCAUCCCUGCUACCUGCAUCCCUCCUUGCACAACCAGACCGUGGCUUUCAGGGUGACUGAUGUCCCCAUCAAGGAACAGUUUGUGACAAAGGAAUACAUCUUCCAUGAGGAGGAUGACCAGGAAUUGGACAACAUGAACUGAAGAAAACAUCUCCUGCCUCAGCAAUGGGCUCCCAAACCAAAACAGACAUUACUGCCUGGAAGUAAUUCGGAGGAACUCUACCAGCAAGUGUGAAAUGAAUGCAAAUGUGCAGCUUCUUUAGACUUAAUUGUAGAAGAGCAUCUGUUUACAUUUCAUUUCAGUACUACAGUGAACCCUCAUCUAUUGGGAAGUUUGCAGCCUGCAAAGAUAGCAUGUUGUUGAGUGGUUUUGAAAAGAAUAUACCAUCAUUCACCAGGUUCAUGCUGCUUGCCUCUAUUCAGCCACUCACCAGAGCCACCCUAUCGAAACUACAACUGUGGAUGUAAGCAUUUCUGAGAGCUGUAAUUGAACUCCCCAUCACAACCUUUACAGCAAUCAUUUUGAUUACUCUUAGCUUAGCAAUUAUGGCUGAGUGACACAUUUUCAGCUUUGGAAAACAAUAUGCCUAGCCCAGCUACCCUAUGCAUAAGUGUCUCAUAUACAUAUAUCCACAUAGAUAUACAUAUUUACCAGCUUUCACGUGCUAAAUGGUUUCUAAGCUCCUGCCUGCCAAGGAGCUGGUUGAUCCAUGAGCAGGAUUCCUGUUGGAUGGCUGCGUGAUGUGUGCCAACAGCUCCCUCUGGGUUUUUUGUCUGAGAUUUACUUCAGUUGCAGAAAAAUCAGGGAAUGUCUUUGUUCCCAGAAGUACUCCUGGCAGCCGACCUUGGAUCACGACCCAUCAUCGCAGCCCAGUUGCACAGUCUCUAGACAGCAUCUCCUCGGGGCCAGCACAACCUGGGGUGAUGAGACAAGCUCUGUAAUGGAAACGAUUGUGCCUUUGUGUCUGGGCAGCCAGCAAGUGUCAUUCUUUGAAACACAGCGGCUAUUUCAGAAAGAGCAUCUCUAGCGGAGAUGCAGCAGUUUUCCAGGGCACCAUGGAGACAUCCAGUUGCAUAACCCUGACAGUCACUGGGAGACAGUCUGCUGGCAAGCAUUACUGAUACCCCCCGCUCCUGCUCAGCAUGAAGUCCCAAUGACCUCAGCCCUUGGCCGCCUUGUCCACCUCCAACAAGGAAUGUUAGAGAGAACAUCUCAGGAGCCCCUCCCAUAAGCUAUGAACCAAAGCCCUUAAUUUUACAGCUACUAAAAUAUACCAAAGUUCAACACAAUAGCUUUUCAAGUUGACUAACUGGUACGUGGGAGCCAAAAAGCAGGAGCCAUGUAGAUUUAUCAUGUCGUUAAAGGGAACUGGGGUGAGUGUUAGGCAGAGGAUGGAGAUCGCGAACCCAGAGCUGAGGGCAACAGCUUUAUGAUGAGUUUCACCAUCUGAAAGCCUGGUGUUGUGCACUGCAGCAACCAGCGUUGAGCUCGUCAGAUCUCAGAUUUGCAGCAGGCUGCUUUGCUUCUUUGUUCAUCAAAACAGGGAAGAAAUAGUGGAGCACUUUGGAAAAAUCCUGGAGAAUCUGGUAGAGAUGGAAUUGAGGGUGCUUAGGAACUUGCAGAGUCCAAGGCAGAAAUUACUGUAAAUACUUGUUGAAUUUAGUAAGUGUUUUUAUGCUUCCUGUUGGGUUAUUUUUAACACUCUUGUAGGAUUCCAUAGUGGGAUAUGAUUAUGCAUUAAAUUUUAAUGGUUGUUUUAAAAAUAAAAGCUGUCGAAUGCUAUCAUUUUCUAUUAGGUAAUACAGAGUGCCUCCAUUAGGAGUGUUUUUCUCCUUCCAAACAAAGCCUAGGCAGGCUCGAGCAACAGUCAUGAGCAAAAUAAUCCCAGCUUGGGGAAGAUAUUAAUAAAAUCCAGGCUGCAAAAUGUGCAGGAAGCUGCUCUAAUGUAUCCAUUUCCAAUUUCUGUUCACACAGGUGAACUCAAGAGCAAACCAAGGUUCACCACAUCCUAAUUGCAUUUGGGGGCACUGCUGAAAACUUCAACUUUGAGAUUUUCCUUAAGGAAUUCUCCUUGAUUCGUAUCUUCUUUUGUGAUCAAGGAAAAGUUUUCCUGCAAUUUGAAGAACCUGUAUACAUUUCAUGCCUUUUCUAAUCUAACCCCAUGUGGCACAGAUCAAAGGCCUUCAUGAAGUUCAGAGCAUGAAGCUCAGUAAUCUUGCAUCCUGAAUGAAUUAUCUGCCAGGAAGAGGUUUAAGUCUCAUGUGAAGGUAUCAUUGGCUUCUGUCAUCAUGUACGCUCCUUUGGCUGUAUGAUUAAUUGCUGUGAUUUCUGUAGGACUAACAUGGUCAUGUCUCAUUAGCUGUCUUUGGCCACCACACAUUCAUCAGUCAGGCAUCAUCAGAACACCUUUGGUUUUUAAGAUCGUACUAGGUUUUCACAGAUCAUGCCCAAAUUUUACUGGAGUGCUUGUGAAUUCUGGUUGAAUUCAAGCCCCACUGGGCAAGGGGAGAAAUGUUCUCUGCAAGCUCAAGAGCUGAGCAGGCCAAGAUGAAGAAAGAUUGGGGAGAAUGUGGUCAGCUGCAAAUAUCACGUGAGUGUUCCCAGUAUCUGGGGUCAUUAACUUUGGUUUGGCAGGAUUUCAGUAGGAGGAAAUUUGCUAGAGGAAGAUGAGAAGAUCACCAGACAAGGGUGCCACAUCACUGUGCUCAGGACAUGAUACGUCAGGAGCUGGACUUCUGCCCUGCAGGGCCUUCUCCAGUUUUGGCUGCAGAACACCUGAGCAGCCCCUUCCAGCUGUAUUUCUGGGCCAUGCACACAUGCCAUGGCCAUGCUGAAUGCACAACACUCAGCAGCAUGGCAGGGGCUGUGUCCCAAAGGCACAGGGCUGGACACCACCUCCAUCUUCAUCCCAAGAGGAGAGGACAUCCCAUGGGAGAGGGACCAGUGCAGAGAGCUCCCAGCAGGGUUUUGCAGCAGCCAGCUUACAGUGGCGUGGCAAUGUGAAUGUCUGCAAGGUGCAGAGCUUUUUGUGCUGUGGAUUCUGUCUCCUUUUAUUUCUUGUGUAGGCAGUAUUCCUCCUGACUCCAUUUAUUUAUCUAGAUCCAUUGUGUGCUUACUAAUAGAGACAGCAUGUUCUGGUUUUUUUAGCUUGAGAAGUUGAGAAGGAAAUUCUCAUGAAAUAUGUUACCAGUCUAAAUUAUCCCAUGACUUGCCUACGUUUCAAAUUAACUGGUGGAAUAUCAACAAACAUAAUGGCAAUUCUUUUCCAAUCCCAUCUCCUCCAGUCAGUCUUUAGCCCACUUAUCAGACACUUGUUAUUACAAAAAUAAUCAGGAGAGGAAAAUACACCAGUGCUGAAUCAACACUACCAUACUUCUUUUUUUUUCCCCUCUUUUUGAACUCGUCCAACUUGCUUGGAUUCUGUUGGCCAUGCACCAGCCUGAAACUGGAGAAACACAGCUGGCUAAAUCCAUCACAUCUUAUUACAGGUUAUCAAUUCUCCCCUGCAAUAAACACAUUUGACAAUUAGCAGGGAAUUGAUGAGUGAGCCAGUUUGAUUGCUGCUAUUUCUUUACUCCUUAGUACCUGACAGAGAGGUUUACAAUGCAACCUUAAUUUGUAGAAAAAGCAAGACGCUGGUAAAGCCAUUAGCGUUUCUUAUACCCAAAAUGACAAAUGGUCUUUACAUUAAUCUCGAAUCACUUCUUUAAAGCAAGGAUCAGGAAAGAAUUUUCCUCGAAAGGAUAUUGCUGCCCAGCUGGGGAGGUGCUCUAAUAGGGCUUUCUCACCUUCUGGGGGAUCGAUAGCAUGGGGCUGCCAGGCUGCAUUGCUGGGCUCCAUAAAGCCAUUGGUGUAAUUUGUUUUGAUGAACCUUCUGCUUCAAAUAAUAAUAAUAAUAAUAAUAAAAAUUGCAAACUCUGCAUAGACAGAAGACCAAACCACACCAUGACUCACAUCGUACAGUAAACCAUUUAGGAGCAAUACUGCAGUGAUUGAGAUUUAACUCAUUCCAUUCCAUAUCUCUCUGCAAUUAAUCCAAUAUUUGGCCAGCUGGCUUUUUUUGAAUUUCAGUUCUUCAUUUGGGAAAAGGAAAAAAUAAAUAAAUCAAAGCUCUGCCAAUGCCAAUCACUGUAGCAAAGCUCCACAAUGGUCUGAAAAUAAGGACUGUCAGGGACUUCGAGAAGGAACCUACUCUUCCCAUCUCUCUCAAGACCUCCCUGAUCCCCAGGAGCCUUUCUCUGUGGCUGGGCCUGACAUUAGCUCCCAACAGCUUUGAUCCCAUGAGGUUUAUUCAGACAGAGGCAUCAUCUUUUGUGUUUAAAAUGGGCAUGCAUCAGGAAAAACACAAGCUACCUUCAGUGUAGUCUCAGAAUACCAGACACCAGCUUUGAUCUCUUCAAUGUGCAGAUAAAAUGAGGCUGGUGAGAGAAUGAAAUCUCCUUCCUUUUCAUUUGCUAAGUACAUUAAUGUGUUCUUGAUCUCAAAAUGAUUCUCAUUUACUCACUGUAAUCACAGCGUUUUCAUUCUUCUCUUUGUUUGUAGGGCCUUUGCUGUUGGUUUUCUUUUGUAAUCAAGAGGUUUUUUUUCUGUUCUUGCAAGCUGAAUAUUUUCCUGCUAGCAAACUUGUCCUAACUGUGCUUUACAAGUGCAUUCUUUCCUUCAUCUCAUUUCCUCCCACCCUGAGCUGGGGCAGAGAUUUGCUCUGGCAGCAGAUAUGAAGGCUGCAGAUAAUGCCGAGGAAAGCAAAGACCACACGGAGUAGUGUUGGCCUGAGCAGCAGCAAGAAAGUGCCCCAUGCACAUCCAUUAGGGAGAGUUUUGUUUGGCAGACCUCCCAGCCUAAUAAUCAGUUUGGUUGUGGUUAGGGUUGGUUUUUUUUUUUUUUUUUUUUUUUUUUUUUUGGUCUUUACUGCCUAUUUGGAAGAACAGCAGCAUUGGUGUUCUGGUGACUUGCUGAUCGUUAUACAGUUGAGGAAAUAGUUAAACAUAAUGAGAGGUCAGACUACAACUGCUCCACACCACCUCCAUGGCCAUAAGGGUUGUGCCCCAACACAAGAUACAAGAUGCUGUAAGGUGUUUAUGGUGUUGCUGCUGGGGAGGAUGAGAAGUCCCUCCCUCUGUUAAUAAAGAACAAAUGCUGGAUACAGAGCAAUGUGCUGACUCUUCCUGAGACUUAGAGGUACAUCUCAAGCCAAACAUGAGAUGAUGAGCCUCAUGUUCUCGUGGUUAAUGAGUGUGUGCAGUCAUAGCCUAUGGUUGCUGCCCAUUAACUUUGCUCAGCACACAGUGAGAGAGAGGUUAGAAGCUGAAUACUUGGGUUUGCAUUUGGUCAUAGACGUAGAAAACACAACAAAAAGCAAAGUGGAGAUUUCCUACAGCUCAGCUGGUGCAUGGUAAGCUCGCUAAAUCUCAGUAACUUGACAUCUCUUCCUGGCAAUUGAAAUUCUGCUUUCCCUGGGCUGGCAGUGUUAAAGAGGAAAAUACAAUGGCACUUCGUGGUGCUUGUGAUGGUUCAUGGAAAAAUGUGCAUCCCAAUCAUAUGACCCAGGAGGUACAUAGGAUGUAACAGAGUGCGGUGGGUGAAAAGCAGAAGUUCCCAAAUUGAUCUGUGUUGGGAAAAUCGUCUGCAGGUUCCAAUAACUGUGUCAGCUGAAUCGCUUGGACUGCUUUCGUGUGCAGAACCGUGCAGGAAAUCCCAACAAAGCAGAAUUUCUCGUAAGACUCCUGGUGCAUCAGCCUGCAGACCGAGCCAGAAAGAAACCACAAAAAACAAUUGCUCUCCUUGCUGUGCAGCUACUACAAGUCCCAGGUGGAACCUGAAAAUGAAAUGUGUGCGUGUGUCAAAAGAUCGCCGGGCUUUCCAAAAUCCACUCUUUGAAUACAGUUGCAGAAACAAGCACAUGAUGUGGGUCAGAGGGUCACUCUGUGUUUUAUACAUUGUUCUCUCAUCAGCUCUGCUAGAACUGACCCAAUGACUCCAUUUAUGUAGGAAUAUUAUUUGAAGUUUCUUAUACGUCGCAGAUUUGGGCACCCAAGAUGGUGCAUCACUUUGGAACAUCUUUAAGGAAACUUCAGAGCUGUUAUAUGCUUUACUGAACAAUGAACCCUAUUUCUUCAUUGUUGUUCUGGGAUGAAUAUCUGCUGAACCAGAAGUGUAGAAACAGUGAGAAGAAAUUGGCUCUAAAAGGUCUUUAAAGCUAACUUAUAUUCAAGGAUUCAUCAAGGACCUGGUUUGUCCUACUCCUACCUUUCAGAGGAGCGUAACGAGGAAGUUAGGAGGCUGGCAACGGUAAUACAAGAGAUCCAUGUCCAAGUCCAAAUAUUUCUGGUGCAUUCUGAAUGGCCAGUGUAUACCCAAGACUUGAUCUCUGUUACGGGGUUGCCUGCCUAUAAAACACAGCACUUUUUCCUUAGGGAUGACUUGUGUCUUUUGCAGUUUAUGAAGUAUCCAAGUCCUUUGUAAACAAGAUUUAAGGAAGUCUAACCAUUUUCACCUUGCAGCAGAGUUUCACGGAGAGCAAAAGUAAGAACUCAAACACCAGAGGAAAAGUUAACAAGAGAAGAGAGCAUUUGGGGUUCAUUAGGAAGACAUUGGAUGAGAAGUUGGGAAGCAGCAGAAAAAUGCUAUAGGGUAAAAAGGAAUUCUUUGUGCCAAGGAUCUUGUCUUGUUGUCUUCAUCUGUAAAAUAUCCAGAAAUCUGCUGGCACAACAUGAAACAAGACAGAGGCUGAAAGCAAUAAGACUGCGCUGAAAUUUAAGUCCUGUUAAAUUCAUUUUUUCCAGGGUUUGCAAGAGCUGUUUCCCUUCCACCUGCUGACCAAACAGGAUAGCAGUAAAAUACUUCCUCUUACUGACUCACAAAUCUGUCGGACGUGAUGAGGCCCAAUGGGAGUUUGGUGAUGUCUUAAAUAGUGAUUUGCUUUUUGCCUCAUGGCAAACAGCACUCCCGGACUGGUAACACAAGCUGUGCUUCCAGGCUAUGGUUCACAGGGCUAUCCAAACAGACUCAAAGAGGUCUUGGUCUCCUCUGUUGCAUGAAGAUAGGUCUUGUUAUUAUAGUUCUGUUUGCUCACAAGUGAGAUUGUGCAGGGAUUUUUCCAUUUCAGCGUACUGCAGAUGAGGGGAGCAGGACAGCAACUUCUGCAGAUGGUCCAGAGCUGACCUGAAGCUGUACAAACCCUUCUUCAGGGCCUUUCCCAAAGAGCAAACCAUGGGUUUGUGUGGCCCAGCACAGAUCGUUCUAAUCUGUCCUGCAGUUCUCUCUGUCCCUGCAGCUAUUGCAGUUUGGAGAGCAUUUCUCCUGCAGCUGAUGGCCAGAAAACCAGGAGGCAGCUCACUGGAGUAAAUCUCCAUUGAAGUUUUUUGGUUUUAUUUCCCUGCCAUAGAGGCAAGACAACAACGGAACAUUAAAGUGAGUUAUUAUAUGCUAUGGGUUUCGGAAACAUCCCUGUGCUUCCUUCCUAGGUCAUGUACAGCCCUGUGGUUUCUGCAGGCUCCGCUCCUGCUCGGAUGCCGGUAGCUUUCCAUUCCCACCGCCUGGAGCCGCUUCUCCAAAGUCUGACUAAACGUGUGUGUGUGUAAGGGGAAAUGAUUAACUCUGACCAUCUAUAGAAUGAAAUUCUUCCUACUUAAAGGUACUCCUGACAAAGCUGACUGGGAAGAAUUGCUAUGGUGGUUUCAAAUAGAGCAUACUGCACUUUUUCCAAAAACUUCUUUGAUAUUUUUUGUGAAGAGUAAAGAGUGGUUUCUGCAAAGGAAUAUCUGCCAUCUCGCUGCAAAUAAUCAUUGGAUUAUGGUUUUAAUUCUAAAAACAUACAUACCCACAGUUGCCCCACUGAAAAUAAAAUCCUUUUUAUCAAUUGAAUAUGCUGGACCUGAAAACAAGGUGACAGUCCUUAACAACAAGGCUCAGACCAUUAAGUUUUUGUUCUCUUUUGUCUCAAAAAAGGUAUUCAGGACUCGGACAUUCAUGUAAAAUGUCCUCCUAGCUCUCCACCCCCACCGGAGAUUUUAAACAAACGUUAAAGAAGGAAAGGAAUAGCAUAAGCAAAUUUCAAGGGACAGGAUGAAUUACAACCCAUCUGUAGUUUUUUUCCCAUUCUGCUGACAAUCUACACUGAACUCUGUCUGCGUUGUUGUGCAGAAAUGUGCCGGUGGAUUCUUGCUGAAGUUAUCCAUAGUCAUCUGAGCAGCCCAUAGGGCACUGCUGUCACAGUGACUGCCUCCAAGGCCACAGCAAAGCAGCCCUGUGCCAGUGGGGCCAAAGCUGUAGCAAAAACUAAACCCCAGAUGCUGGCUUUUCCUUUUCCUGAGUCACUGCUGUGCCCAUGCCAUCACCCUGCAGCUCUCUACAGGUGCCUGGGGAAUAUUCAGGGAAGGGCACAACACCAGUUGAACAAGAUGCUUUCCCAGUUUUGCCCCAUUGGAUGCACUGCAAGUCACCCCAGAGCCUUGAGUGAUGCCAUUCCGAGGCACAUGCAGAGCAAGUCCCUUUCUUCCUGUAAACAGAAAGAGAUGUUUUCAGUUUACAUGCUUCCAGUUUACAUUGCAUGGAAGGCUUAUGUAAGUAACAGGGGAAAAGAAAAAAACUUAAUGAAUUCAUAACAGCCCGGCUAGGCACGGCCUCCAGAGCUAAACCUGUCAGGAUCUGGCCCAAGGAGGAUGCUCACUGGGAGACCUGACAAGCAAGACUGCGGAACUACAAGGAUUUAUUGUACACCAAAAUAAUUCCUAUGCUCACUGAGCAAAGCUGCUGCCACAGAGUAACUGCUUUCAAAAGUAUUUUCCAUCAUGAUCUCCAAGUCCCUUUUCUUGCCCAGAUUCCAUCACAACAAACAGCCCAAGGAUUUAUAUGCCUCUCGCUUACCUUGUGAUGACAGCCUGACACACGGGUUGCACAGAGGGAGGAGAGGAAGGGUUCAGCUCUCCUGUGCCCAAGCCAGGCUGAGGGCUGAGGGCAGAGGUCCUGGAAUGGGGCUUGCUGCUGUCCUGGGUCUGCUGGCUCUGCUCUAAGAGCAGAGAAAGGUGAGAAAUAUCAACACCAAACUACCUAGAUCUUUUUCAAGCACAAUAGGAAGCACUUGAAGAAGUGUCACAUCACUCACUUGUAGCAAAUGGUAAACUUACGCACUUUAGAAAGAGAAGAUGUAGGGUAAUGAUGGGGACGUUUGAGGUCCUCAUUCUGUUUUCAUGUGCAUAUGCCCAAAACAGACAAAAUAUCAUCUCCAGAUAAAAGAGAGAUUUGUUGUCUCAGCAGUUCCUGAUCUGCUGCUCAGUGGUAGAAGCAGCUUAGCCAAAACCAUCACCAUCUUGCUGAUGUGCAUACUUACAGACAAAGAGAGAAUUCAUCUUACACAGCUCCAAGGUGUCCAAGUGUUGGCUGAUGAAUCCUGGGCUUGUGCAUGGCCUUCCUUUAUUUUUUGUGAAGAACAACAGGCACCUCCAGAAUUUCCUUCUGACCAACAGUACAUAAGGAUGAGACCAAACUGCACCUUCAACUCUAUGAUUGUUUUGGUUCCCUUCCAACUUGGGAUGUUCUAUGAUUCCAAUGGGCUGCAAAGGGCUGCUGGGUAAUGAGCCAGACUGUGUCAGCACCGUAUCUGCAGGAGUAUAGUAAUAAUGCAAGAAAAUUGUAUUAAUUGUAUUGUCAUAGCAAUCGAAAUUCCCAAAUAGCAUCUCUGUGCCACAGCCCAUCCAUGUAUCUCCUCCUGCUGAUAAAGACAGCAUGGAAAUGAGAGGAGGGACUAUCAAGAAAGGUGUCUGUGAUAAGCAGCACUCAAAAAUUGCAAAUGCAAUAGAAAGAGAAAGACGUGGCUGUACUAAAGAUCAGGGGAUAAAUGACAGUGGGUGUAGUGAGUGCUGAAGACUGUGGAAGAUACAAAGGCACAAAAAGAAAAGCAGAGAGCCUGCCUCGUGCUGGGAUCUCAGCUCACCCCACUGCACGGAGGAGCAGGUGCAGAGGAAGAUGUGGGGCAAACAGGGUGGUGGAGAAGAAUCAGAAAUAGCUUUGUUUAGGCUCGGAAAAGGAGGGAAAGGCUUGGAAAAGGAUUGCUUUCUAUAAAUAACCGAUGUAACCCCUCAGGGAAGGGAGAUAGUUAUUUAAGCUGAAGGACAAUGUUGGCCUGGAAUCAAACUGGUUGUGAGUAAAUAGAGGGGGGAAACAUGAAGCAGGUUUCUGAGCAUCACAGGAAAGAUGUUCUGAAACAACUUUCCAGGCGCAGCAGGAACCUGAGCGCUUCUAAAUCCGCUGGAGCAGGAAAUGGAUCUCCGUGCCAAGAUAUCUUUGCCAAUGGCAAAUUUUACCCUGCCUCAGAAAAUCAGACUGGAUGAAAUCCUGAGAGAUAGCUGAUAGCUUGAUAGCUUGACCGAAGACAGGUCUGCUCCUUCUGAUGGGAAGAGGGCUGUGCCCUGUAAAUAGCCACAUGUGACAUCCGAUGGCUUCUUUGUCCUUCGCUGUCCCAGUUAUUGCAGCAUUUUGUUGUUAGGACAGGCAUUUUUCCCCUUUAUCUUCCCUCUAUGUCCCUUUCCAUUGCUGGGCUGCUGGCAGCUGAUGGACCACUGUGGGACGGGUGGGAUGCUGGGGCCUGGGAAAC
rnacentral:lncRNA from 1 species